UCGCGAAAACUCCGCAAUACGCGAAGGCGUGACGGGGCCAUCCCGAGUGCCGUCCGCUGAGGAUGGCUUUUCCCCAGUGUAGAUAGCUGGGGGAAUAAGGAGAGGGCAAGUCUGGUGUCAGCCGCCGCGGUAAUACCAGCUCUCCGAGUGGUGGGGACGUUUAUUGGGCUUAAAGCAUCCGUAGCCGGCUGGGCAAGUCCCCUGUUAAAUCUAACGAUUCAAUC
rnacentral:rRNA from 1 species